GAUUAAUUUGUAUUUACUUUUUUUGUUAGUUAAUAUUUAUAUUUAAUUUAAGUAUAUUUACUUUUUUUGUUUAUGUAUAUUUUUGAUUAAAUAAUUUUAGUAAUAGUAAAUUAGUACGGUAGGGGAAAAUUUAUAUACGUAGGAUAUUAUUUAAUAAGAAGAGUUGAUUUUUUGUACCUUUUGUAUCAGGGUUUAUUAAAAUGUAAAUAAUUAUUUUUAUUUUUCCCGAAUUUAAUGGAGCUAAAUUUUUAUGAAUCUUGCUGUUGCAAAAUUAUUUUUAAUAAGAUUUUAGUGAUUAUACGUUAGUCGUUAUUAAAUAUAUCUGGUUCUUUAAGAUUUGAAUUUAAUUUAUUUAUUUAUGUUAAAUUAGUUUAAUUUAAUCAAUCUAAUUUAUUUUAAAUAAAAAAGGUUUUAGGGAUAAGCUUAAAAUUUUUAUCUAUAAUUUAUUAAUUAUUAAUUUUGUAAUUAGUAGGAUUAGAAAUUUUUAUCUUUUUAAAAAGUGUUAUAAUUAAUUUUUUAAAUAAAUAGAAUUUAUUAUUUCAAUUUAGAUUUUUUAUUAAAGAGUUUUAGUUAAUUUUUUUUAAUAGUAAUAAUGAUAAAAUUAGUAUUAUUUUUUUUGUUAAUAUAAAAAUUAUAUUAAGAUAAUAAUAAGGAAUUCAGCAACAUUAUACUCGCCUGUUUAUCAAAAACAUGUCUUUUUGUUUAUAAUAUAAAGUCUAACCUGCCCACUGAUUAAUUGAAGGGCCGCAGUAUAUUGACUGUGCAAAGGUAGCAUAAUCAUUUGCCUUUUAAUUGGAGGCUGGAAUGAAUGGUUGAACGAAGUAUAAACUGUCUCAUUAUUAUAAUUUAAUAAUUUGAUUUUUCAGUUAAAAAGCUGAAAUUUGUUUGAAGGACGAGAAGACCCUAUAGAACUUUAUAAUAAAUUAAUAAAAUUUAUUUAGAUAGAAAUUUCUUAUUUAUUAUUGAUAUUAUUUUGUUGGGGUGACAGGAAGAUAAAUUUAACUCUUUUGUUUUAAAACAUUAAUUUAUGAUUAAUUUUUGAUCCAGUAUUAUUGAUUUUUAGAAUAAGUUACCUUAGGGAUAACAGCGUAAUUUUAUUGGAGAGUUCAUAUCGAUAAUGAAGAUUGCGACCUCGAUGUUGAAUUAAAGAAAUUUUUUAGUGCAGAAGCUAAUUAGGUAGGUCUGUUCGACCUUUAAAUCUUUACAUGAUUUGAGUUCAGACCGGCGUGAGCCAGGUCGGUUUCUAUCCUUAAAAUAAUAUUUUGAUUUAGUACGAAAGGACCAAUCAUGGAAAUAAAAUUUUUUUAAAAUUGAAUAAAAUUAAUUUUUAAUUACUUUGGCAGAUUAGUGCGUUGAAUUUAGAAUUCAAU
rnacentral:rRNA from 1 species